rnacentral:rRNA from 1 species
CCUACGGGUGGCAGCAGUGGGGAAUAUUGCACAAUGGGCGAAACCCUGAUGCAGCCACGCCGCGUGAGUGAUGAAGGCUUUAGGGGUGUUAAGCUCUAUCUGCAGGGAAGAAAAUUACGGUACCUGACCAGGAUGCACCGGAUAACCACGAGCAAGCACGCGCGGUAAGACGGAGGGGGCCAGGGUUAUCCGGAUUUACGGGGUGUAAUGGGAGUGUAGACGGCUGGACAAGUGCGGAGUGAAAGCCCGGGGCUCAACCUUGGAACUGCUUUGGAAACUGGAAAGCGGGAGUGCGGGAGAGGCAGGCGGAAUUCCUAGUGUAGCGGUGAAAUGCGUAGAUAUCAGGAGGAACACCGGUGGCGAAGGCGGCCUGCGGGAGAGAAACUGACGUUGAGGCGCGAAGGCGUGGGUAGCAAACAGGAUUAGAUACCCGAGUAGUC